AUCAUGAUUUCCAGGAAGCUGGCUGUCCAUCACUGUGUAUGUAAGAUGUGUGAUAAGGAUGAUGCUUCCAAAAUACAUUUGGAUGUUUUCAGCUAAGCUGACUUCUGAGCCAUGGGUUCCUCCAGAUGUUGGCUGGACUUUGUCCUUGCAUCUCCCCAGGCUCAUCCUCAAAAUCUGCAGUUCAUAAUGGAGCGGCCGUACCGACUACUGGAAGGAGGAGAUUCUGAAGAUAGGGAGGAGCCUUCCUAUCCAAAAUACCUUUUAGACUCAAUGCAUAAAAACAGCAGGCCGCGUCCGCCUGCCGGUGGGCUUGUGAACUGGGGAAGACUUGCUUUUCCACACGAAGAGGCUGAGUCCCCGGCAGAUGAAAUGACUUGCUAGUGAGUGAUAAUGAGGAUCUUUUGACUCCAAAGCACCUGCUGCCAACUUGAAGGAGCCUUCCUAUCCAAAAUACCUUUUAGACUCAAUGCAUAAAAACAGCAGGCCGCGUCCGCCUGCCGGUGGGCUUGUGAACUGGGGAAGACUUGCUUUUCCACACGAAGAGGCUGAGUCCCCGGCAGAUGAAAUGACUUGCUAGUGAGUGAUAAUGAGGAUCUUUUGACUCCAAAGCACCUGCUGCCAACUUGAAGCCAGGGAACGGAGGCCUGCGCCGAGGCUUGCGGCCACCACUGGUCACGGGACAAGGCGAGAGACAGACUCUCCCCUGCGGCCCGGAGGGAUCAGAGCUCCGCGGACACCCCGACUUUUGCCCAGUGAGACCCAAUGUGGACUUCUGACCUAGAGGACUGGAAGAAGGACGGGGAGUCCCUGUGAUGCCCAUUUUCACACGCGAGGAAACGGAGGCUCCGAGAAGAUGGGUCCAUGGGAUUCAGGGAUGAGAGAACGAGGACCUGUACCCGGUCUGCCUGACGCCGGAGCUUCUGCGGUGAAGUCAUGCUCUUCGGGUUCCUGUGGUGCCUCCUCCCUCUCCACCCAGCAUCGCAGAAUCACUGGCUGGAGCCCUGACCUCAGAGGAAGACACGAUCACAGAGGCCACCUGUCCGGCCGGACGCUGGUGGCCCUGAGAGAGCAGGAGCCUGGCGCGGGCAGCCACCGAUCAUCUUGCAGUCGAUCCCUCGAGUGGAGCAGUCGGACUCGGAUCUGCAGCUCACAGGCAGAGAGGAGCAGGAGAGCUGGCCCGGGUCGGCUUUGGCAAAUGCACACGGCCCUUCGUCCACGGAUGAAGGAAGCCAUCCUCUGGAGUAACUUAAAUAAGCACAGCGCCUGGCCCGAGAAAGACACCGUGGGGGCCUCCUCGGACAUAUAUUUCCUCUGACUUAUGGUGAAUGUGAAACACCUAAUAUUUUAGCGGCCAGCUUCCCCAAUCCCCUGUGCCACCCGGCUUUGAGUUCAAUGCAGCUCUCUGGCAGCCCGAGAUCGCAGACUCGUGGGACAGGGUGGAAUAAACAUCAGGACGCGGUUCCAAGAUUUACUGCCCCGUACACAUUUUGGACUAAAAUCACAAGACAUUUCUCCCCACCCGCUCCCCAAGUUCAUCUACCCUGUUCCUGGGGUUUGAAAAGAUUUGAGGGCGAGGGAAGUGCCAUUAAAGCAAGUAGUGGAUUUCACAUCCUGGUGAUGUUUGUGUAGCUGCCACAUGUGGCCCAGUGUUAAGUAGCUGAACAUUACUGCUCGCAGCCGCCAAAGUCAGCCCUCACCUCCUAGGGAGGUGACUUCAAACAGCAUUUCAAGGGCGCAGAGGGGAGGAGACGAGAGGGGGUUACCGCUCAGGAUGCAGGAAUUCACUCUCCCUGUCUGUGCUUUCUGCUUGUUAGAGCCAUUCGGGAGCCGGAAGUGCAGAGGAAUUUGAAGGGUGCCUUCAGAUAAGGCGCUGGAAACCCCGAUAUUUGCAUGAGAGCUGGCGUUCUCCGAGCAGCGACGUCUUUUAAAGCAUAACUAAAGGACAAAAGCAGCCACUUGGAGUGUCUCCCGCAGCACACCGGUUCUGCUGGGGCAGGACGAGCCCGCCUGAGGAGGCUGCUCACAACGCAUGCGCAACUCGUCAGUGACAAACCCGCCCUGUGCAGAGCUGGGAGGCCUGAAUGAGGCUGGGAGAAAUAGAAGCUGGCUGGACACGCCGACCUGGGGAGCCCUCACGGAGGCUAGCCUAUUGAAUUUUUUCUUUUUUUUUUUCCUUUGCCUGGUAGACUUUCUCAGAGCUUGAAGAGUUCUUGAAGGUCUUCCAGAUAGCUUUCUGUAUUGAAAAUAAACCAAUAUACUCGUUA